AGCGAACGUUUGCGGCGGGCCUAACACAUGCAAGUCGAACGGGUUGGCAACAACCAGUGGCGCACGGGUGCGUAACACGUAGGUAAUCUACCCUCAAGUUCGGGAUAACGAGUCUGAAAGGAUCGCUAAUACCGGAUGUGUUCCGAAAGGAAGAAAGACCCGCAAGGGUCGCUAAGAGGACGAGCCUGCGGCCCAUCAGCUAGUUGGUGAGGUAAUGGCUCACCAAGGCUAAGACGGGUAGCUGGUCUGAGAGGAUGAUCAGUCACACUGGAACUGAGACACGGUCCAGACUCCUACGGGAGGCAGCAGUGGGGAAUAUUGCGCAAUGGGCGAAAGCCUGACGCAGCCACGCCGCGUGAGCGAUGAAGGCC
rnacentral:rRNA from 1 species